CCUACGGGGGGCAGCAGUGGGGGAUAUUGGACCAUGGGGGGAACCCUGAUCCAGCGACGCCGCGUGAGUGAAGAAGUAUUUCGGUAUGUAAAGCCCUGUCAGCAGGGAAGAAAGAAAUGACGGUACCUGACCAAGAAGCCCCGGCUAACUACGUGCCAGCAGCCGCGGUAAUACGUAGGGGGCAAGCGUUAUCCGGCAGUACUGGGUGUAAAGGGGGCGUAGACGGUUAAGUAAGUCUGGAGUGAAAGGCCGGGGCCCAACCCCGGGACUGCUCUGGAAACUAUUGAACUUGAGUGCAGGAGAGGUAAGCGGAAUUCCUAGUGUAGCGGUGAAAUGCGUAGAUAUUAGGAGGAACACCAGUGGCGAAGGCGGCUUACUGGACUGUAACUGACGUUGAGGCUCGAAAGCGUGGGGAGCAAACAGGAUUAGAUACCCGGGUAGUC
rnacentral:rRNA from 1 species